rnacentral:rRNA from 1 species
UACGUAGGGUGCAAGCGUUAAUCGGAAUUACUGGGCGUAAAGCGUGCGCAGGCGGUUUUGUAAGUCAGAUGUGAAAUCCCCGGGCUUAACCUGGGAACUGCGUUUGAAACUACAAGGCUAGAGUGUGACAGAGGGGGGUGGAAUUCCACGUGUAGCAGUGAAAUGCGUAGAGAUGUGGAGGAACACCGAUGGCGAAGGCAGCCCCCUGGGUUAACACUGACGCUCAGGCACGAAAGCGUGGGGAGUAAACAGG